rnacentral:rRNA from 1 species
AUUGAACGCUGGCGGCAUGCUUUACACAUGCAAGUCGAACGGUAACAGGGAGCUUGCUCCGCUGACGAGUGGCGAACGGGUGAGUAAUAUAUCGGAACGUACCCAAGAGUGGGGGAUAACGUAGCGAAAGUUACGCUAAUACCGCAUACGAUCUAGGGAUGAAAGCAGGGGACCGCAAGGCCUUGUGCUCCUGGAGCGGCCGAUAUCUGAUUAGCUAGUUGGUAGGGUAAAGGCCUACCAAGGCAUCGAUCAGUAGCUGGUCUGAGAGGACGACCAGCCACACUGGAACUGAGACACGGUCCAGACUCCUACGGGAGGCAGCAGUGGGGAAUUUUGGACAAUGGGCGCAAGCCUGAUCCAGCAAUGCCGCGUGAGUGAAGAAGGCCUUCGGGUUGUAAAGCUCUUUUGUCAGGGAAGAAACGGGCGUGGCUAAUAUCCAUGUCUAAUGACGGUACCUGAAGAAUAAGCACCGGCUAACUACGUGCCAGCCGCCGCGGUAACAC